CUAAUCUUACAGAAUUUUUUUCUCAUUAUCCCUUCUUUUUUCUCUUCGAUCACGUCACGAACAGGGAUGACCACACUCCAUACCUUUAAUUGAUCAACACCCAUAUUUUCAGCCUCUCAGACUCUUAUCUCUUUCUCUUCUUCUGGAAAAAUAAACCAUCUCUUUCUCUAGUCUCUCUCACUCUCUCUCUCUCUUGUCUUACAUGAUCAAUUAACCUGGAUAGUCUGAAUCGUAAGGAAUAGAUCCCGGAUCCCCCUAUCAGAUUCAACUCUGGUCUAUCAAUUUAACCUACCCUCUAUUUUUGAAUUAGGGAUUGUGAUUUCUUAUGCGAUUGUGGUUUUUCUUUGCAGCAAGGGAUUGAAGAGAUUUCAUACUGUGUUCGUGGAGAGCGAGGUUGCGAAUCACCUCGGAUGAAAGAAGCCAUCGACCAUUAAAACUCGUUCCUCGUGCUUCAACCCGAGACCAUGGAGAAGCGCUCCAGCGACAACACAAUCAGCACUGAGUAGGAGGCUGAAACCAUGGCAGUGAUUGAACCCAAGAAGAUCAUCAUUGAGAUCCUGGUAUCCAUUUCGGCCAAGUCAAUUGCAGACUGAAGCUGCUCUAUUUGCUUCCCCAUGUACUCACCAACUUGAUUUCAGCCAUCCAUCCCCAGAAAGUUGAAAAAAAAUGAAUAAUAUCAAGAAUCUAAUCAAUUUCAAUUUCGGAACUGCAAAGAAGCAAUAGGACUCGAUACUGGACCAUGAAUAGAAGCAAUUGUUGACCGGAAAAAAAAAAAAAAAAAACAA